rnacentral:lncRNA from 1 species
AAGCUGAACGGGACCGAAGCCGGGAGACGCCUCCCCGAGCUCGGGGACUGAGUGGCAGCGCGCUUGGGAACCCCAGGAGCCGCCGGGAUUGGACCCGUUCCCCGCCACCGUUAUUGCGCUCCCACGCGCGCUCCAAACCCCGGGGUGGGAGGGGGCUGGAGAAAGGACGCGAGGAAACCCGAAGAACAUUCAUUUUCUCUUUCCCAGGGAACCUGGGUCUGGGCAGGAACCCGGUUUCUCGCCAGCGAACUGCUCUCAGAGGCUACCGAGCGUUCCCGCCUCGCCGCAGGAACUCUUCUAGCUCGCCCUCGGGCUCUGGGGACCGCUCCACAGCGGGGCCUCCCGGAAUUCCCUGCCGGUCUCCGCGGGCACACUUGGCUGGCUGCUGCGACCAAAACUACCUUCGCGUGGCAGGGUCCUCCCUCCUCCUCACAGACACCCCGACAUCACCCUCAAAACUGGAAGGGACAACCCCGAGUGAUCUAGAGACCAGUGAGGCAGGGCAGGAGACACUCAGCAGUUUCCCUCGUGCGGGAUCUCUAAUAAGAGGCUGGCAGAAAAGUUCCUGUGCUUCCCAUCCUCUGCCCAGCUCUAGGGUCUCAGAGAGAAUCACCUCCAUCCCACCUACCUCACAGGAUGGCUGUGCACAUUCAUUCAUUCAGUCAACUAUUUUUUAUUGAGUAUCUACUAUGUGCCAGACACUGUUUUGCCACAGAUGAUGU